AUCCAGAAAUGGCACAAUUUAAAAAAGAAGAGUGUACACAUAUUUAGAAGGUAUGUAUCCAAGUUGUCUUACAGUGUAGACAGUAUUUAUGUACACAAAAUACCACCACACUAAAUAUUUACAUGUAUAACAAGUAUACAUCCACAUGAUGUCUCAAAGUAAUAAUCUUUACUUCUUCAUUCUAUCCCAGAGCCAUUUCUUCCCUCAUCCAAUACACAGAACAGAAAAAAAACAGCAUCUGAAGAAGAGAGCUGCAGCCCAAAGAAAGGAGUCGGAAAGGUGGCCAGUGUUGCCUGGAGACACGUAUUUGUUUCCCAGAGACUGGAACAGAGGUUGACACAGGAGGAAGGAGACAAAGGGGAGGCUCCUCUUAGGAGGAGGAAGUUCACAGCUCCGGGAUGAAAAGAUGAAACUUCCUUUUGGAAAAUCAAGAAGCUGAGGGGUAACUAACAACACAAAGUGCUCCUCCAGGAGCCCUUGAAGGUCGGUCAAAGUUUAUGAGUGCAAGGACCAGUAAUGGUCUCUGGCUGAUACAGAAGAAAUGCACAGAAAGUAUGUUGACAGAUCACGGAAUGGCCAGGAAACCUAGAGAAGCAGGCUCUCACAAGGGGCAGGGAGAAAAAUCAAAUGAGGCUUUGGAACCGGCACCGUUUCUCUGCGGAGCAGGAGGCACGUCCUGGGAAUUCUUGUCUCCAGCACAAAGAGUCGAGGGGGCCCGGUGUGGUCCUGUCUCUGUGGCGCAAUCGGUUAGCGCGUUCGGCUGUUAACCGGAAGGUUGGUGGUUCGAGCCCACCCAGGGACGGGCGGUCGAGGUUUUAGAACCCAUUCGAGGUUUUCCGUGCCGACGACCAUUCAAGCGGUUCUUGGCCCACACAAAAAUAUGCUCUCCUGCAUUCGGGGUCCGGACUGCUGCCAGUCUGGGCCACCUCACCUUUCCCACCCUGUACUCUGCAAGUGCAAGUGUAUUCCUAUUCACUCAUACUUGCCUAAGGCAGGACCUCCUGAGACAGAUCAAGGGAUCCAGUUUCUGGUGGGGUCAAGUCUUUAUUCUGCCAAGUACAUAGACUUAGACAAGUAAGUUAUACCUUAUGUGCCCCAGGUUUUUCACCUGUAAAAGGAGGCCAGCACUUAGCAAUUGUUCUGUCAAUAAUGUUAUCAGUGAACCCACCGUCAUCAUUAGCCUCUGCAUUAUUUUUCAGAAAGGCAUUUCCUACAUGGUUCAUGUAUUAUUUGGUUUCAUGGUUUUAUGAUGACAGAUAUGCUGCAACCAUCAUUAUUGUACUCACACUUCUGACCAUUCGUGCAGGUAUUUAUUUCCACAGUGUAGAAACCUGGAAGUGCAG
rnacentral:tRNA from 1 species